CCAGGGCGGGAUAGCAGGUCUCCUGCGGCUCACCUCCCAAACUCCGUCCUGUCCCCUUUCUUCAUCCCACCCCCCAAAUGUUCCCCAACACCGGCGUCAGCCAGACCUGAUACUGGGCAACGGACUGGACAAGACCUGCCCUCAAGGCCACCCAGACCCAUCUAGCCCGGCUGAUGCAGGAACCACCCAGAAGAGGAAACAGCAGUAUAGAGAGGAAAUAUCAGCCUCUGCCAGAUGGGGAAACUGCGGCUCAGAAAGGCCAGUUGAUGCCCAAGGUCUGAAGCUGAACCUUCCGGAGAAGUCCCAAGACCCUGAGAUGUACAGGGGCCUUUCUUGGCGUUACACUGGCUGCUCAGGGACAGUCCCCACCCCACACUCCACCCCCUUCUAUCAUCUCUCAUGCUGGGAAUCCUUGUCAGGAAGGAAAACUCAGGAAAGCACUUUGGAAGUGGAGGUGAGGAGCAGUGGAGGGUGAGGGAGGGGCCCGCCUUCAGACACACCCACAAAUGCAGACACGCAUGCUCUCAGAACCCACAAUCCCACACUCAGAGACACGCCUUCUCGUGACAACCAGG